ACUCCUGCGCAGGUACUUGGUGAAACCGCAGGUUCGAUCAUCGACGCUGAAUACGUGCUCACUGCUCAGCCUGUGAGUGAGUUCUUUGCUAUUGUUGCCCCGCAGGUAGAACGCGAAGUUCGCGUGGACUGUGUAGUCACGGGACUCGGUGAGCAGUUCGAGGAAGAGCGAAAAGUAGUCGCGACUCUCGUGCUCGCAUCCGCGUGGGAACAGCAAUAUACGCCACUGCAGGUGCUCGCUGCUCUCGUUCGAGUGGUAAACGGGAGAGUAAAGAGCUUCGCCGAUUUUCUUGUGCUGGAGGCUCAGGGCACUCGGCGUCCAGGUGCACCAGGUCUCUUCGUCGUCGGCUGAGUUGGCGCGUUGACGCUUGUUACUUUUCGACGAACGGCUGUUUCUGGCCUUCCUUUCGGUCGCGUCCAUUGUUGGCUGGCUUUGUUAAGUAUUGUAAAAAUGCGUUUGCGAACUGUGCGCGGAGGCCGGAGAUGGCUUUUAUCAGUGCUGUAUAGAUAUGCUUAUAACUAUAUACGACUCAACUGUAAGAAUCGGUCAACUGCCUAUAAUUGAUAGUGCCGGUUCGAACGUGAGUGCUGCCAACGUUUGGGAUUGUCGCGAACCUAUUUUUUUGUUAUUGCAAGGGGAAAUUUGAGCGAUCUAGUUACGUGUUUGAACUUCUCGUCCCUAGUGCUUAUAUAGAGGUGGAGUUAUUAGAAGAAGUGUGCAUUGACAAUCGACAUUAAAGUGUAUAUAUUUACUUUUCCCACGUGAUCUACCAGUAUAGAUAUACAUAAUAACAAAGUCGCACGGGCGUUUUCCUAAAAAACAAAAAUAACCAACAAAUCGUGCAGAUGCGACAAUAAGGAAAAAAUAGAAGGCAAACGGAAGCACCGCAAGUGUAUAUGCAUAAGUAUAACUUCGUACUUCGCAUGUAAAGGAAGGGCCACAAAUAUGUUAUGCAAGUAUACUUUUACGUCAAUACUUUGUGUAUAUAUACAUAUAUGAGGGACAAGAACUCAAUCAUACCCAUAUGUUACAUAUUCAUGAACGUUAUCAAAAUCAACGUGUAAAGUCAACGUGUAAAAAAAUAUGGAAUGAUUUUAGAUACAGUUCGAAAAGUUUAAUAUCAAGACAAUGACGAGUCGCAUCGGGGAUCGGAAGUUAUUGAAUCGCCGAACGUUUACCGAAACAUGACCGAUGAAUGUUGUACCCGGCUUAUGUGAACAGUAGGUGCGUAUAAAUCCUCCGAGGUAAUUUUGAGAAACUUGUUUGAGAAUUUCUACCAGCUCUGGCUUGGAUGGCACGAUUGAUUAUGCAGCUCUUUAUUUAAGUAUCAUUACAUCGUUGCAGAAAUCAAUUCACUUUACGAGUCUAUUAAUUACAAACGAAAACAUUUAUUUGUAAUAAAUGAAUGAAGAAAUAAAGAAAUUUUAAGAAGAGAACAAAAAUCCACAAGAAGUAAGCACGCAUAAAGGAGACAAACGCUGCGGCAAUCAGCAAGGGCCACUUGUACUCUUUUAGCGCGUAUAUUUAUGCGUCGUCGUCGAUCAAGUGCUCCGCGCUCUCGUGUCUGCGCCCGUGCGCGAGUCUCAAGGGAAAAGUAAAUGCGGGCUAUUGUUAGGUGUGAAAAUGGCGAUAGAAGGACGCACUCGCCGGUGAAGAUUAUAUAUACGUAAUAUACGUAAUAUUCGGAGAAAGGUCGCUCUUCGAGGGACCGAACUUGUCAUUUAUACUUAAUUUUCACCUUGUGAAGUACCGAUGUGUGACACUGGUUUAUAUGACGAGUGGUUGGAUCCUUGUGUAUAGUUUCAGUUCAUUUUUGGCAUUAUAUUAUAACAUAAGGUCAAUUCAUAUAAAAUUGUAUACGUUCAAGGAAAAUUUGACGAAACUAUCGAGCUUUAGCUGGUUUGAUAGGUCAAUUGUCGUUAAAGGUGUGAGUUGAUAAGGAAGAAUCGUUUGACGCAGCCAUGCAAAGAUAAACACGAAAACACGCGGGUAUAAUACCGUCAUGUAGUAUGGUAUAGCUUUUUCUCAAAUGAAACGCACCGUAUCGUAAACGUAAAACGGUAACAAUUUAAACAAUAAAUAAAACAAUCGUAAUUAUCGCUAAAUCUACGAACUACCUUCAAAAUACAUUCAAAAUCAUCAUUUCGUAUAUAUACUAAUGCUCGCUUGAUUACCGCAAAUGAGGUGCGACAUAUCGAGUACAUCAAAAGCCUCUGAAACUCGUUUAUCUAAAACGUCCAUCACACUAGAAUAACGGCGAGAAAUCAAUUAAUAGUGGAUUUCAAAAUAUUAUUCCCGAUUUCGAAAUUUUCCAUCGACCAAACGUUCGUAAUUUUUUCAUUAAAAAAAAAAAAGUAGAACGCAGUAGGACGCGAAAACAAAGUCUCAUCGCUUAUACUCCUCUAUUUCUCCGCGCUGCUGCGCGGUACAAGUUAUUCUCGUCUAAAAAUACAGAUCUGCCUUCGUCGGAUCCAUCUCAUCUGGGACAUAAAAAAUCUGCCGAAUUAGGAAUUAACUUACGCGCGCGUUUCUGUCCCGUUUAAAGUUUAUAAGCCAAAGCCAAAUAACUCAGCGCGACAAAGAGAAAGAGAGAGAGAGAGAGAGAGAGAGAGAGAGAGAGAGAGAAAGAGAGGGGGGGGGGAACAAAAAGAUGCAAACGAAUAUAUCGGAUGCUUCUUUGUCAAGGACGCGACGGCACGACGACUUUCGAUAUGGUUUUGCCUGAAAGAGAGGAUUUCAAUGCACACGCUUUGGUGCGUGUGUUUUACGGUUUGUGUUGGAACAGUCUUAACGAAUUCCUUUGUACGAGUUUAUACGCGGCGUGUUUUCGGCUUAAUAGUUGGUAUAUAUUUUCGCAAGAGAAAGAAGCGCGAUAAAAACGUCGGCGCGCGCGAGAACGUUUUCGGAUAAGAAGAUCGUUGAGGAUCGGCCGUUCGAAAUUCUUCUUUUUCUUCUUCUUCUUCUUCUUCUUCUUCGAGAGAGGUGUAAGUAUUCAUAAAGGGAUAUUAAAAUUCUAAAUUUUCGCGUUCGAUCAGUUCCCUCCGAGUUCAACGACUCUCGCGGCUCCCAAAGUGAGAACCUGUGUGUCUUUUCUCUCUCUCUCUCUCACACAUAUACAUAAGUAUAUGUAUAUUUCACGAGGCGUUAGAGCCGCGCGAGGAAAGUGACGAAAAAAAAAUCGAGCUCAGGCGAUCGGUGUCGAUGCCCAAUAGAACGUGCAUCGAGACACACACACGUGGUGCCGUAAAUGCGCUCUCGCAGCUCCGUGGACUGGCUUUAUGAGCUGGAUAUACGUGAGGGGACUGCGAAUCGGUACGAAAACUACGAAAUGAAAACGCGCUCUAAAUUAUUGACCAAGUAUUCAUAAGUCGUGUGUGCCGAUGCGUAGCCUCGAUAACGUGGGCAUAUAGGUGUGACAGUAGAGAAGAAUUUUUUUUGGUGUAGCUCGUCCGGGUUGGCUUUUUCAAUUUGUAUUUCCCGGUUGGGCAACGAUUAGAUCGGUUGAAAAUAAAAAUUGUUUUCGGGGAUUGAAAAAAAUAUCUUCGAGGACAUUUGUAUCCUUGUUUA
rnacentral:lncRNA from 1 species